rnacentral:lncRNA from 1 species
GGGGAAGUCCCGGAAGUGGCAGCUGACCGUCUGACCAAUCUGGACCAAGCUGGCGUUGGAUUGCUGAUGGACGCUGGUACUUAGCAUGACGACAUUUGCGUCGGCGGCUGCGAGUGUCAACUGCCCCGAUAACUGCCGAACACAUGUGCAAG